UACCUCUUGGCAAUGGGCAAAGAGGCACCUUAUUGGUGGUGGUACUCUUGUAUCAGUCAGGGGCACAUAAGACUGACAGUCCUUUGUUCAUCCUAGCUUGAUGCCUGGGUUGAUGGCCAGAGCUGUUUUUUGCCUGGGGCACAUAA
rnacentral:snoRNA from 1 species